UGUCAGGGGUUCAGGAGCAGAGGCACAGGAAAGGGAGGAAAUAGAGAGCGAGGGGGAGGAGUCCGAAGGAAAUGUUAGCGAUGACAGCGGUCCGAGGUCUCUGAGUCUUUCCAGCGAAUCGGAAGAUUCACAGAAAGGGGCUCCCUUGGUCAGAGCAAGGGGGUGCCGAGGGGGACACCCCAGGAAGAAGGGGCCAGAGGGGACUCAGAGAGCAGCAGUUGGAAAUCAGGACCAGCGUCCACACCAGAGUGCAGUAGGGGGGAGGAGUCCCAGGCAUCGGGAUCAGGCGGCGCACUGCCAGUGGGAGGACAUGAGUCAGGAUUGGCCACGCCUCCAUCGGGGAGCGAGGAAACGGUCGAGAGGAAGGUUGAAGGCGCGCGCGCCCAGUUCAAAUGUACAGGAGGGAGGCGCAGUUGGCAGCCCGGAUAGGGAGCCAGGUCCCAAAGCCCGCCGAAAAGAGGGGGAGGAGUCAGGGGGGUCAGCGUCAGAAGAAUCCAGGAAGGAAGGGACCCCGGGGGGUAGCAGGACCCAGAGGAGAAAGGAGAGACGUAAGAGGUGGAGUAAGGCUAGAAUCUUAAACUGGUGUACAGGGGCGGAGACUCAGAUGGAGCUUCGCCGAUCUAACCCCUAGACGUAGAGCUGGGGCGCUCCGGCUUGAAAAUGGAAACUGUACUUCAAUAAAGACUUUUGUACAUUACUGCCGGCUAGCGUUGGUCCUCUGUGAGCUGGGACCUGGAGCCAGCUCUGACAGUAAGCUCCAUCUCCAAAAGUUUUGCACCAAAAACCUCGUAACGUGAGUGGACGCAGCGAGGGAAGAAGAUUGGUGCUUCGCGAGCUCACAAAAGUCAGGCAAGAUGACUACAGAACAGCAACUAGCAGCCCUGCAAAAUGCAGUGACACAACUCAACGCGGAGGUACUCGCAUCCAGGAAAAGGGAAGAGGAAGCGGCUGCCGCCUGCAGGGAUCUCCAAGCCAGGUUGGAAGUGCUUGCUAAGCAGGGGCAACCGGGACCCAAAUCAGAGGGGAUUGGGCUGGGGAAAAGAGGAGGCAGCCUGGUAUCUCAUUUCGAUGGGAAUUUGCAGCAGUACCCUAACUUCCGAGCAGACGUGCUGUUUGCGCUGGAACUGCUGGAUAAAGACUUUAGAGAUGAGCAAGAGAAGGUGGGGUUUAUCUUGUCCCAUUUGCAUGGGGAAGCUAAAGCGUGGCUGCGCAAUCUGUGGAGAGAUAAGGAUCCGGCGCUCCAAAAUGCGGAUGCAUUCAUUAAAGCGAUGGAUUCGUGUUUUUAUCAAAUAUAGACAUUGAUAUCGCCAGAAAAGACAUACAUGGGCUCAAACAAGGCAGAGCCAGUGUAAGGCAGUACCAUUCCCGCUUUUUGCAUUAGUCCAUGCGCUGGGAUGGGAGAAGGAUUCUGCCCCAGCCAGAGACCUUUUUGGGAAGGCUUGAAUGCAAAUGUGAAAGAUGAGAUUGCAAGGGGGGAGAGACCAAAGAGCACUCAGGAGGUUGUCCGGCGGGCGCUGCAAAUUGGGGUGCGUCUGGAAGAACGUCCAUGGAACAGAGAAGAAGGACGUUGGGGACGUACGCCAGUGAGAGCACCUCCCCUCUUUCCCAAGGAUGCAGCGCGUGUGCAAUCCCCACCUCCGCAAGGAGGGGGAGAGCAACCGAUGGAGAUUGGAGGCGCCAGGGCUCAGUCAGCAACCAGAGCCUUAACACCGGGAGCAGUCAAAGCGAAGCCUCCUAGAGGGAACAGGAAGUGCUACAUCUGCGACAGUGCUCAGCACAUGGCGAAAGAGUGUCCCCAGAGGCUCCACAAGCACACUGCAGCCUCAGCAACAGUAACAGAAGCAACUCAGCAGAGAGAACCACAGCAGGGAAACGACAGAGUCUGGUUGGAGGAAGAGGCACUGGGGCCCAACCAGACAAGUCAAUGAAGCCGUCCCCAGAGAUUUUGCAGCCCACAGACCCCCUCCCGCCCAAACCAGUGGUGCAGCUCACAGCAUCGCUCCAACUACCCAAUGGACUCACUAUGGAAGUGCCGAUUACCAUUGACUCUGGUAGUAACGCAGACUUCAUAGGACUGGAUUUCCUUCAAGAGCACAACAUAGCACUCCUGCCAGCCACGCUGCCUCUGAAAGUUGUCACGGUGGAUGGCAGGGAAUUGCUGGGGGGGCAGGUGGUGCAGCAAACGCCUCCGAUGGUGAUGCAAAUUGGAAAUCACCGAGAAGUCAUCAGCUUCAAUGUCACCCAACUGUCGGACACGCCUAUAGUAUUAGGCAUGAGUUGGCUGCACAGGCACAGCCCAGCAUUGGCGUGGUACCAGCGACAACUGACCUUCGGCUCCUCAUACUGUGCGGAACAUUGCAUUCUGCCUAGCCCGGAAGGGGAAGAGGAUGACCCGCAGCUACAAUUAGGCACGCUGCAAGCAGUGCCACUCAAGUACGCAGCGUUUUUGGAGGUUUUCUGCGAGAAGGAAGCGGACAAGCUACCUCCCCACAGGUCUUAUGACUGCAAGAUUGACCUCCUGCCAGGGCGACGCUGCCAACCGGGAAACUGUAUUCCAUGUCUGAAGACGAGCUGCAGGAACUCAGGGAGUUCAUAGACCUCAACUUGAAGCGCGGUUUCAUCCAGGAGUCGAAGGCAGUGGGGGGCAGUCCUGUAUUCUUUGUGAAGAAGAAGGACACGCCCCAAAAAAGGCUUGUGGUGGACUAUAGAAUUUUGAACUCGAAAACCAAGCCCACAGCCUUUCCCAUGCCCAAGAUAGAUGACCUGCUCGCAACGGUGAGGAAAGGACGCGUUUUCACAAAGUUGGAUCUGCGAGGGGCGUACAACCUGAUUCGCAUACGGGAGGGCGACGAAUGGAAGACUGCCAUGUUCACGCCCCUGGGCACCUAUGAAUACAGAGUUAUGCCCUUUGGAUUACAAAAUGGCUCCCACUGUUUUCAAGCCUUCAUGCAUCACGUAUUGGCGGGUCUCCUCUACAAGAAAUGCGUCUGCUUCCUGGACGACAUCCUGAUAUUUUCAGAAUCAGAGGAGACCCACGAGGGAGACGUCAAGGAAGUUCUGCAGAGACUGCAGGAGCACAGGCUGUACGCCAAGCUGGAGAAGUGCCAGUUCGACAUGAAGGAGGUAGAUUUCCUGGGCUACAAGUUGUCGGACAAGGGGCUCGCCAUGGACAGCGCCAAGGUUCGCUCAGUGUUGGACUGGAAGAGCCCGCGCAAUCGGAAGGAGGUCCAGCGGUUUGUCGGUUUCGCCAACUUUUACCGCAAGUUCAUCAAGGGGUUCGCGAUGCAGACGGCGGCCAUUACCGACACGCUCAGCUCCAAGAAGAAGAAGUUCAUCUGGACGGAGCAAGCGGAGCAGUCCUUUCAGAAACUCAAGCGUCUCUUCUCGUCCGAAGAGCAGCUACUGCAUGUGAAUCCCAGCAGACCGAUGAGGGUUGAAACGGACGCCUCAGACAGAGCCGUGGGAGCAGUACUGUUGCAGCAAGACCCGCAUGGGGACUGGAGACCGUGUGCCUUCUACUCCAGGAAGCUCAGCAAGUCAGAGCAGAACUACACCAUCUGGGACAGGGAGUUGCUGGCCAUUCAUGCAGCAUUCAAGGCGUGGCGGCACUUCCUCAUUGGAGCCAAACACACAGUGCAGGUCCGCACGGACCAUAAAAACCUGGAGUACUGGCGCACGGCAAGGUUCCUGAACCAGAGGCACAUACGAUGGGCGGAGUUCUUUGCGGAUUUCGACUUCAGGAUAGAGUACAUCCCAGGCGACAACAACAUCAUGGCGGAUGCACUGUCCAGAAAGCCGCAAUACCUCGAGGAGGCGGCACCAGCAGCGGCCAAGCACAUUUUCGCACCGAAAGCGUGGGCGUGCGCUUCAGCAACCGUGGACCUGGAUGCUGUACGUCGAGCACUGCAGGAGGACCCCUUCGCGCAAGCAAAGAUGGCAGAGGUGCAAAGGGGCACGGCGGAGGACGACGAGUUCCAGAUACGCGACGGAUUGCUCAUCCGCAGAGGGGCCCUCUACGUACCGGGAGACGACCUCCGCGCGAAAGUACUGCAGCAGUUGCACGACGCACCCACCGCCGGGCACUUUGGCAAAGAGAAGACGGUAGAAUUAGUAGCCAGAGAUUUUUGGUGGCCCAAGAUGCGGGGGAAGUCGCGGAUUACGUCUCGAGGUGCGACACCUGCCAAAGGGCCAAGUCAGUGCACAAACCGCCGGCGGGACUGCUCGAACCGCUGCAGACACCGCUCGAACCGUGGGAGAGGGUGGCCCUGGACUUUGUCACGGAUCUACCCAGCUCGAGGGGCAAGACGGCAGUGCUAGUGGUGGUGGACAUGUUCACCAAAAUGGCCCACUUCAUUCCGUGCGCGAAGGUGGCCACGGCGGAACAGACCGCCAAACUGUUCAUAGACCACGUGUUCAGGGUUCACGGUCUGCCACGGUCUAUCCUGUCCGACCGGGGGCGACAGUUCAUCUCGAACUUCUGGCAGAAGCUGAUGGGUUUCCUGAACGUCAAGAUCAACCUAGCGUCGGCGAGACACCCGCAGACGAACGGACAAGCGGAGCGAGUCAACGCCAUCAUGCAGCAGUACCUGCGAUGCUACGCAAAUCAGCAGCCGGCAACAUGGGUGGACUACCUGCCGCUCGCUGAGUUCGCCUACAACAACACGAAGCACGUGUCCACGGGGGUGACACCGUUCUUCGCCAACAACGGGAGGCAUCCCAGAACCUUCCCGGGAUUAGCGAGAGCGGGGGAGGGGAGCCACAGGCAGCGGAAGCCUUAGCAUCAGAGUUGCAGGAGGUUCACGAACAGCUUCGGAGGCAGUUAGAACUAGCAAAGCACGCAUACAAACUGCAGGCUGACAAGCACAGAAGGGUUGGGGAAGACAUACAGGUGGGAGACUGGGUUUGGUUAGCAGCCCAGGCAGUGCCGGCCAGAUCGUUAGCGAAGAAGAAGCUAGGGCAUAAGCAGCUAGGACCCUACCAAGUCGAGGCACAGGUCAAUCCAGUGGCCUUCCGGUUGACACUGCCGGAGGGAUCCAGAAUGCACCCAGUUUUCCAUAGAUCAGUGCUCACGCCCUACAAAGCACCUCAUAGAUUUCAGGAGCCAGGAACGGCACCAGACCCGUUCAGGGAAACGCCCACAAGGGGGGGGUCGCCAAGGCGGGAACCCGUCAACGAAGUCACAGAGAUUUUAGACUCGAGAUGGGGGGAAGAGGGAGUAGAAUAUCUUCUCGCCAGAGAAGGUACCCCGGCCAGCGCCAACAGUUGGGUGCCAGACCAUGCCUUGGACGAACCUUUUCUCAAGGACGAGUUUCAUGCCCUUUUCCCACACAGGCCCAUGCCAGCCGAGUAUUUCGACGACUGGCUUUUCACACCCACAUUUUCAGCUAGCACAUUCCAGGGGUUCACCUCGGACGAGGAACCGGCACUAGAAACACGUUCCCCGGAGGGAUCACCCCGGGGUCUGCCUCAGACCGUUCCUAUUGGUGGGACAAUCAACCAGAGGAGCAGUGGCGCAGGAAGUGGUUGGGGGGUCCUUGGCAGGCAACGUCCCCGGAGGAGACCGGGGAGAGACGGACAUGGACGUGUUGGGGGAGGACCUUGGGGUCGAGCACGGCGGCAAAGAGAUGGAAGCAGAGGAAAUUGAGGUCGGCGAGAGCACGGAGGACGAGCCGGACUUAUCCGGCUGGAUGCACGCCACGGGGGACGAACUGUAUCCGGCACUCACCCCCACAACGACGGAGCACCCAGUACCCACACCUGAAGGAGGGGAGGGGGAAGGGGGGCUUCGAGGGGGAUGGAUGUCAGGGGUUCAGGAGCAGAGGCACAGGAAAGGGAGGAAAUAGAGAGCGAGGGGGAGGAGUCCGAAGGAAAUGUUAGCGAUGACAGCGGUCCGAGGUCUCUGAGUCUUUCCAGCGAAUCGGAAGAUUCACAGAAAGGGGCUCCCUUGGUCAGAGCAAGGGGGUGCCGAGGGGGACACCCCAGGAAGAAGGGGCCAGAGGGGACUCAGAGAGCAGCAGUUGGAAAUCAGGACCAGCGUCCACACCAGAGUGCAGUAGGGGGGAGGAGUCCCAGGCAUCGGGAUCAGGCGGCGCACUGCCAGUGGGAGGACAUGAGUCAGGAUUGGCCACGCCUCCAUCGGGGAGCGAGGAAACGGUCGAGAGGAAGGUUGAAGGCUGGGCGCGCGCGCCAAGUUCAAAUGUACAGGAGGGAGGCGCAGUUGGCAGCCCGGAUAGGGAGCCAGGUCCCAAAGCCCGCCGAAAAGAGGGGGAGGAGUCAGGGGGGUCAGCGUCAGAAGAAUCCAGGAAGGAAGGGACCCCGGGGGGUAGCAGGACCCAGAGGAGAAAGGAGAGACGUAAGAGGUGGAGUAAGGCUAGAAUCUUAAACUGGUGUACAGGGGGCGGAGACUCAGAUGGAGCUUCGCCGAUCUAACCCCUAGACGUAGAGCUGGGGCGCUCCGGCUUGAAAAUGGAAACUGUACUUCAAUAAAGACUUUUGUACAUUACUGCCGGCUAGCGUUGGUCCUCUGUGAGCUGGGACCUGGAGCCAGCUCUGACA